AAUUGCUGUUCGUUAGUCUCGCUUAAACUCGAGAACGGCUGGACCGAUUUGGCUAAUUUUGGUCUUGAAUUAUUUGUGGAAGUCCAGAGAAGGUUUAAAAGGUGAAUAGACCUUCCCAACGCUAAAAAUGUCAUUAUUUGUUGAUUAGGUUACAAUACUAUUCUCUGCAUGGGUGCAAUAGCUUGUAGUAUGAGUGGUAGCAUUAUAAUCGUGGAUUAAAGUUCUAUCAACUACGGGAUAUUAAGUUUUAACCGUAUUUGAAAAUUAUACCAGAUGCUUCGGGUAUUAAGUAAUUUUUUAUUUCAUACAAUUUGUACGUAAGAGUAAUGUAUGCCAAAAAUAAUUGCUGGUAUAAACAACAUUUUUCAGAAUUGAUGUCAAAUCUUGAGGCUGUAUUUUAAAUUUUGUUCCGUAAAUGCGAUGCGUUUUAGUAUAUGUCGAACUGUAAUUUAUGAAUUAUUUAUAUGUUGUGUUUUACAUACAGUAAAAGUAUGCAAACUAAACAUAGAUAAUAUAAUUUUCAUGGCCUAACUCAAAAAAAUGUUACUUAUCUUUUCUCAAUUUCUCAAUUUGUUGUCUGCUGACAUUACCCGGUUUUUUUGUCAUUUUUGUCUUAAUAAAUUUCUAUUUUCUUGAUAGAAAUAAAGACUUGCGUGACUUUUUUACUGAUUUACUAAAAAUAAAAUUCGAUUUACACGAAAAAUAUUAUCACUUAGUUAAUAAUUAUCUAUCGCAUUAAAAAAACAUUCUAUGGCGCUUACGUUUAUUGCUUUUAGAUGGUUUGCGUAGGUACCACCAGUGGGAGGCUCCUUUGCACAGGAUGCCGGCUUGAUUAUGGGUACCACAACGGCGCCUAUUUCUACCGUGAAGCAGUAAUGUGUAAGCAUUACUGUGUUUCGGCUUGAAGGGCGCCGUAGCUAUUGAAAUUACUGGGCAAAUGAGACUUAGCAUCUUAUGUCUCAAGGUGACGAGCGCAGUUGUAGUGCCGUUCAGAAUUUUUUGGGUUUUGCAAGAAUCCUGACCGGCACUGAAUUGUAAUGGACAGGGCAUAUCAAUUACCAUCAGCUGGACGUCUUGCUCGUUACGUCCCUUAUUUUCAGAAUAAAAAGCUACUUGCUAAACUUGAGUUCCAGUUAAGCCACGCGCAUGAUGUUUUAAUCUAUUUUUAAUGUAUAUCCUUUAGCAUUUACUUUUAAAAGACAUUCAGCAAGGAUGUGUAAUAUGUACCACAAGCAAAUAGAAUAUUUCUAAAUACACUGCUUUUAAUUCAUUAAUUUGAAACUAGCAAUUUUUGAAAUGAAUUUAGUUAUUUACAUUCCAUUUCAAAGCGUACGUGAAAAAAAAAUGAAGUGUAUUUGUGGAUUGCAAUAAUUGGCAAUGUUAUAUUCAUCAAGACAAUAUAAUAUAGGCACCUCAUAAGUUCAUCAAUUUAUACUAGAUUGUAAACCUAGUUGUUUUAUAUUUAGGACACGUGCAAAUUAUGAUGCUAAGACUAUUAUUAUAAGACAUUUUGUAACUCGUAUUAAAAUGAAUAUCAUAUUAAA